rnacentral:rRNA from 1 species
UACGUAGGUGGCGAGCGUUAUCCGGAAUGAUUGGGCGUAAAGGGUGCGCAGGCGGUCCUGCAAGUCUGGAGUGAAACGUAUGAGCUCAACUCAUGCAUGGCUCUGGAAACUGGAGGACUGGAGAGCAGGAGAGGGCGGUGGAACUCCAUGUGUAGCGGUAAAAUGCGUAGAUAUAUGGAAGAACACCAGUGGCGAAAGCGGCUCUCUGGUCUGUAACUGACGCUGAGGUUCGAAAGCGUGGGUAGCAAACAGG